GACGAACGCUGGCGGCGUGCUUAACACAUGCAAGUCGAACGGAAAGGCCCUGCUUUUGUGGGGUGCUCGAGUGGCGAACGGGUGAGUAACACGUGAGUAACCUGCCCUUGACUUUGGGAUAACUUCAGGAAACUGGGGCUAAUACCGGAUAGGAGCUCCUGCUGCAUGGUGGGGGUUGGAAAGUUUCGGCGGUUGGGGAUGGACGCGCGGCUUAUCAGCUUGUUGGUGGGGUAGUGGCUUACCAAGGCUUUGACGGGUAGCCGGCCUGGGAGGGUGACCGGCCACAUUGGGACUGAGAUACGGCGCAGACUCGUACGGGAGGCAGCAGUGGGGAAUAUUGCACAGUGGGCGGAAGCCGGAGGCAGCAACGCCGCGUGCGGGAUGACGGCCUUCGGGUUGUAAACCGCUUUCGCCUGUGACGAAGCGUGAGUGACGGUAAUGGGUAAAGAAGCACCGGCUAACUACGUG
rnacentral:rRNA from 1 species